CGGGGCGUAGCGCAGUCUGGUAGCGCACUAGUCUGGGGGACUAGUGGUCGCAGGUUCAAAUCCUGUCGUCCCGACCA
rnacentral:tRNA from 2 species